UGAGGAUCAGAGUGCAGCCGGCUGGAUGUGACGAUGGGGCACUCUUUGCUCUGCAUGAUGGGCUUUUUCUCUCCGCCCCCUGGAAAGGAAAAAUCGGCUGCGCUGUCCGCCAUUUUUGUCUCUCGCUUUGGAAAAUCUACUACCAUCUGGAGUUUUACACUUGAAGAUAAAUGCAGAGUUUAAGCGCAUUACCACCAUGCCACUGCAGUCCAGAUUACUCUCGCAGAUAGAUGUGCUAUCUGACAAACUAAUAAAGGUCUUCAAAAGGCGAGGAGGACAAAUAGGAAGAAGACUUCAGAACAUUCUGGAGCCCACGGCCCAGGCCACGGAUGAAGCCAUUAUCCAACGAUCUAAUAAGGAAACAACCAUGGGAAUUUACAUCAUAAAGUCAAGAGAUGCCAAUGGCAGCCCUGAGGACAUCGGGAUAGUCCUUGAAGGCCAGAGAGUCUGGCAGGAUUUGGAUAACUAUACCCUAGCAGCUGCAAUGCUGUUUGGACUAAUGUACACUUUGAACCUCACCUACCCACUGGAAAAGUAUACCUUCGAGGUAUUAUAGAAACUGGUUAUGGAGCUCAAAAGGAACAGCCUUUCAAAGAAGGCCCAGGUUUUCAGGACCAGACUGUACGAUUGAACAGUUUUCCAGUUAUGAUGUGGGAACAACAUGUUUACCUCUUCAAAUAUGUACCAUCCUUUCUUUUAAGCCAGCACUGGUAAAGUUGCAGGACAUAGUGAAACUUAUUUUUCUGGCACUUUUCAACUUGGGGCCUUUAUUACUGCAGUUUUCACUUUUCAAGCCAUGACUCUUUUAAAAAAAAAUUCAAACUUUGAAUGUCCAUUUUUCUCAAUGGAAAUGGUGCCUUGCACCAAUUUCACCAGUUUGCAAUUUUUUUCCCAAGG
ensembl:lncRNA